GACGAACGCUGGCGGCGUGCUUAACACAUGCAAGUCGAACGGAAAGGCCCUGCUUUUGUGGGGUGCUCGAGUGGCGAACGGGUGAGUAACACGUGAGUAACCUGCCCUUGACUUUGGGAUAACUUCAGGAAACUGGGGCUAAUACCGGAUAGGAGCUCCUGCUGCAUGGUGGGGGUUGGAAAGUUUCGGCGGUUGGGGCUGGACUCGCGGCUUAUCAGCUUGUUGGUGGGGUAGUGGCUUACCAAGGCUUUGACGGGUAGCCGGCCUGAGAGGGUGACCGGCCACAUUGGGACUGAGAUACGGCCCAGACUCCUACGGGAGGCAGCAGUGGGGAAUAUUGCACAAUGGGCGGAAGCCUGAUGCAGCAGCGCCGCGUGCGGGAUGACGGCCUUCGGGUUGUAAACCGCUUUCGCCUGUGACGAAGCGUGAGUGACGGUAAUGGGUAAAGAAGCACCGGCUAACUACGUG
rnacentral:rRNA from 1 species